rnacentral:lncRNA from 10 species
CUGGUGGCUUUUGUAUCGUAACCUGAAACUGGCUUAGUACUUUUUCCUAAAAGCUCAGGAUUUGAGAAUGAGGACCCCUUCGCCAGGAAAACAUGUAUACACUCAAAAUUUUGCUUGCAGUUCUAGGGUGUUUAGACCCUUCUCAGAUACCUGUGCAUCUUAUGGGUUUUGUUUUUCUCUUUGAGACAGUCUCACCCUGUUGCCCAGGCUGGAGCGCAGUGGCAUGAUCUCAGCUCAUUGCAGCCUCCACCUCCUGGGUUCAAGUGAUUCUGCCUCAGCCCCUUGAUCAGCUGGGAUUACAUGCAUGUACCACCACACCCAGCUAAUUCUUGUAUUUUUAGUAGAGAUGGAGACAGAGUUUCACCAUGUAGGCCAGGCUAGUCUCAAACUCCUGACCUCAAGUGAUCCACAAGCCUGGGCCUCCCAAAGUGCUGGGAUUACAGGCAUGAGCAACUGCGCCCAGCUCUUGUGUACCUUAUGUGAGGAAGUCCUGCUCAAUCAGGAUCGGUCACGCAGGCCCUGAUCUUGCUACUCUGGUUCCAUGUCCUAUGGAAGACCAAAGUUUACCAAGAUAGAUUUUUCCCUUCAUAGUGGCAGAUAGUGUUAACCCCUGCACCAUCUGUAACUCAGAAAUCCCCACCAUUUCUUCCCCUGGGCUUCAGAAUAGAAUUGCCUGGUUUCUCUGAUGAUCAGCAUGGUUCCUUAAAACCCAAAUCAGCAAGGAAUGAACAAUUUUGUUUGGCAUGGAUGAAAUUAGCACUGUUUGGCUCGUUAGGCCCCAGGCAGGCAGGCACCUUAAUUUUUUCCUUGCAUAUUCUAGUCUUCAGAAGCAUUGCCUUUUGUCCUACUGGUAGUGACAUAGACCAAUAACAGGGCAUCUGGGGAUUUUAAUCCUGAAAACAGUGAGUCUGAUACUGCUUGUGUUUUUCAUCAGUGUCCACCCCAAGUGGGUCUUCCUGCUAUUCUCUUCACUUAGUUGCCCCUCACUUGCCAUCUGAGCAAUUGGCAAGGAUGUGCCAGGCCUAGGUUAAACUUGGAAACAUGCUUGACCAUUCUAUUCCCUGGUCCUUUAAGAUCAGUUUGGCUGCAAUUUUGGCUCCUUGGACCCUCAAGCAUAGCUGGUAAAUCAAGUUAGAGAUGUAACUGCCUUAAAACAUGCCAGCUUAGGCUGGGCACGGUGGCUCACACCUGUAAUCUCAACACUUCAGGAGGCUGAGGCAGGCAGAUCACUUGAGGUCAGGAGUUCGAGACCAGCCUGACCAACAUGGAGAAAUUCUGUCCCUACUGAAAAUACAAAAUUAGCCGGAUGUGGUGGUGCAUGCCUGUAAUCCCAGCUACUUGGGAGGCUGAGGCAAGAGAAUUGCUUGAACCCAGGGAGGCAGAGGUUGCAGUGAGCCGAGAUCACACCAUUGCACUCCACCUUGGGCAACAAAAGCAAAACUCUGUCUCAAAAAAAAAAAAAAAAAAAGUGCCAGCGUAUGAGGUAAUUAGAUUGGUUCUCUCCAGAGGUAACCUGCCAAGAAGAGAUGCUAUAGAUGUUACUCCUAUACUGUAAAACAUUGUGAAAUCAGAUUACUUUAAAAUGAUGUAUUACAAAGUUAUGCAAAAAAGCAGUUGUGACUAUGGAAGCCCAAGGCUUAUAUCCCAGCUCUGUCUUACACUAAAUAUGGGUACAGUGUUUCCACUCUGUCCAUAAAAUGGGAGCUAAUAUUCUCCAACCUGUGUGCCUGACAUGAUGGUUAAAGGGAUUAAACAAAACAAUAGUUUGUAAUUUAUUCUGUCAGAGCAAACUGCUGGUAAAUAAAAGGGACUAAGUUGACGAAAAAUAAAUUUUAAAAAACCUAAUAAAACAAGUUUGUAAUUUAU